ACCUGGGAUAGUUCAGUCGCUGGUUCCUUCCGAAUUCUGGCUUUUGGCUGGUGAUUUUCGCGUUGGGGGCCACUUUUCUUUCAACCGCUGGAUAAAAGCUUUGGGAAUGGGGCACCCUCGGGUGUGUUCCCGCCCAAAGACUUUUACAUUAGUUGGGACUGAUGAUCUUUGUUUGCCUUUUGUGCGGGGUUCGCCCUUGUUCGUGCUUACGAUGCUCUGAUGGUGGCUUUACUCGACGCCUCUUGAAUUUUCACAUUGGAGCCUCACGUGCCUGCAAGGGUUUGGUUGGCAACCCCGAUUUCGAUUUGAGAUAGAAUCUUGGCAUCCCUGUCGCGGGGAACACCGACGCCCGAAUUGUAUGUUCUGCGAUGGAAUUAUUAUAAACUAUGUGUGUUGUGACAUUAAAUAGGGUGAGCUAUUACUGAUGAUGUUGAACCCACAGGAUUUUCUGCCGCAGGCUCCUAAAUGUUCUGACUGGGUUCUCGAAUGCCUAAUUUGGGUAUAUAGGCGAAGAACUUAUCAACUGUUCUCCUAACUGGGUCCUUCUAUGCCUGAUCAGGUUGAAGUCAGGGGAAACCCUGAUGGAAGACCGUAGCAAUUCUGACGUGCAAAUCGAUUGUCAGAGUUGGGUAUAGGGGCGAAAGACCAAUCGAACCAUCUAGUAGCUGGUUUCCUUCCGAA
rnacentral:rRNA from 1 species